CCAACGGGUGGCAGCAGUGGGGAAUAUUGGGCAAUGGGCGCAAGCCUGACCCAGCAACGCCGCGUGAGGGAAGAAGGCCUUCGGGUUGUAAACCUCUGUCCUUAGGGACGAAAAAAAUGACGGUACCUAAGGAGGAAGCUCCGGCUAACUACGUGCCAGCAGCCGCGGUAAUACGUAGGGAGCAAGCGUUGUCCGGAAUUACUGGGCGUAAAGGGUGCGUAGGCGGCUUGGCAAGUCAGAUGUGAAAUCCCCGGGCUUAACUCGGGGGGUGCAUUUGAAACUGCUGAGCUUGAGUGCAGGAGAGGAAAGCGGAAUUCCUAGUGUAGCGGUGAAAUGCGUAGAUAUUAGGAGGAACACCAGUGGCGAAGGCGGCUUUCUGGACUGUAACUGACGCUGAGGCACGAAAGCGUGGGGAGCAAACA
rnacentral:rRNA from 1 species